UACGGAGGAGGCAAGCGUUAUCCGGAAUUAUUGGGCGUAAAGCGUCCGUAGGUGGUUGGCCAAGUCUGCUGUCAAAGGGUGGGGCUUAACCUCAUAAAGGCAGUGGAAACUGGCGAGCUAGAGUGCGGUAGGGGUAGGGUGAAUUCCCAGUGUAGCGGUGAAAUGCGUAGAGAUUGGGAAGAACAUCGGUGGCGAAAGCGCCCUGCUGGGCCUGCACUGGCACUGAGGGACGAAAGCUAGGGGAGCGAAAGCG
rnacentral:rRNA from 1 species